GCCAGCAGCCACAUCAUCCUGUAACUCACAACUGGCAGGUGUGAGCCUGGUCAGUACCUGGAUGGGAGACCUCCUGGGAAAGUGAAGUUUGCUGUUGGAA
rnacentral:rRNA from 1 species